rnacentral:rRNA from 1 species
CGUAGGGUGCAAGCGUUGUCCGGAAUUAUUGGGCGUAAAGAGCUCGUAGGCGGUCUGUCACGUCGGCUGUGAAAUCCCGAGGCUCAACCUCGGGCCUGCAGUCGAUACGGGCAAACUAGAGUACUGCAGGGGAGACUGGAAUUCCUGGUGUAGCGGUGAAAUGCGCAGAUAUCAGGAGGAACACCGGUGGCGAAGGCGGGUCUCUGGGCAGUAACUGACGCUGAGGAGCGAAAGCGUGGGGAGCGAACAGGAUUAGAUACCCUGGUAGUCCACGCCGUAAACGUUGGGCGCUAGAUGUGGGGGCCAUUCCACGGUCUCCGUGUCGCAGCUAACGCAUUAAGCGCCCCGCCUGGGGAGUACGGCCGCAAGGCUA